ACGCACAGACUGACCUCGAUCGACCAUCCACAGUCCAACGGAGAAAUCGAAGUAACCAACCAAACCAUUCUGCAUGGGUUGAAGACUCGACUGAAUGAAGCCAGAGGCCUCUGGGUCGAAGAGUUGCAUUCGAUCCUGUGGGCAUACCGAACGACGCCCCGGGCCCCGACCGGAGAAUCUCCUUUUAACGUGGUCUAUGGGAUGGAGGAAAUAAUCCCACU
rnacentral:lncRNA from 1 species